rnacentral:misc_RNA from 1 species
GAAAUGCGAUAAGUAAUGUGAAUUGCAGAAUUCAGUGAAUCAUCGAAUCUUUGAACGCACCUUGCGCUCCUUGGUAUUCCUUGGAGCAUGCCUGUUUGAGUAUCAUGAAAUCUUCAAAGUAAAUCUUUUGUUAACUCAAUUGGUUUCUACUUUGGUAUUGGAGGUCUUUGCAGCUUCACACCUGCUCCUCUUUGUUCAUUAGCUGGAUCUCAGUGUUAUGCUUGUUUCCACUCGGCGUGAUAAGUUAUCUAUCGCUGAGGACACUGUAAAAGGUGGCCAAGGUAAAUGCAGAUGAACCGCUUCUAAUAGUCCAUUGACUUGGAAAAUACUUUUAUGAUCUGAUCUCAAAUCAGGUAGGACUACCCGCUGAACUUAAGC